rnacentral:rRNA from 1 species
CCUACGGGGAGCAGCAGUCGAGAAUCAUUCACAAUGGGGGAAACCCUGAUGGUGCGACGCCGCGUGGGGGAAUGAAGGUCUUCGGAUUGUAAACCCCUGUCAUGUGGGAGCAAAUUAAAAAGAUAGUACCACAAGAGGAAGAGACGGCUAACUCUGUGCCAGCAGCCGCGGUAAUACAGAGGUCUCAAGCGUUGUUCGGAAUCACUGGUCGUAAAGCGUGCGUAGGCUGUUUCGUAAGUCGUGUGUGAAAGGCGCGGGCUCACCCCGCGGACGGCACAUGAUACUGCGAGACUAGAGUAAUGGAGGGGGAACCGGAAUGCUCGGUGUAGCAGUGAAAUGCGUAGAUAUCGAGAGGAACACUCGUGGCGAAGGCGGGUUCCUAGACAUUAACUGACGCUGAGGCACGAAGGCCAGGGGAGCGAAAGGGAUUAGAUACCCGGGUAGUC